GAUGAACGUUGGCGGCGUGCUUAAUACAUGCAAGUCGAACGAGGAACCUUGUACUUGUACUUGGUUUCCUAGUGGCGAACGGGUGAGUAACGCGUUGGUAACCUGCCCCGAAGUGGGGAAUAACAGCUCGAAAGAGUUGCUAAUACCUCAUGUGGUCAUAAGGGUUAGAUACUUUAUGACUAAAGGAUUUAUUCGCUUCGGGAGGGGCCUGCGUCCCAUCAGCUAGUUGGUAGGGUAAUAGCCUACCAAGGCUACGACGGGUAGGGGACCUAAGAGGGUGGCCCCCCACAAUGGCACUGAAAUACGGGCCAUACACCUACGGGUGGCAG
rnacentral:rRNA from 1 species